UACGUAGGUGACCAGCGUUGUCCGGAUUUACUGGGCGUAAAGAGCGCGCAGGCGGUCGUUCAAGUCGAGUGUGAAAGCCCCCGGCUCAACUGGGGAGGGUCACUUGAUACUGAUCGACUCGAAGGCAGGAGAGGGAAGCGGAAUUCCCGGUGUAGUGGUGAAAUGCGUAGAUAUCAGGAGGAACACCGGUGGCGAAGGCGGUGGGCUGGGCCGGCACUGACGCUGAGGAGCGAAAGCGUGGGGAGCAAACAGG
rnacentral:rRNA from 1 species